GACGAACGCUGGCGGCGUGCCUAACACAUGCAAGUCGAGCGGGGACUUAUGGAAUGAAGCUUCGGCAGAAUGAAGUAAGUUCUAGCGGCGGACGGGUGAGUAACGCGUGAGCAAUCUGCCUUUCAGUGGGGGACAACAGUUGGAAACGACUGCUAAUACCGCAUAACGUCAUUCGGAGGCAUCUCUGAGUGACCAAAGAUUUAUUGCUGAAAGAUGACCUCGCGUCUGAUUAGCUAGUUGGUGAGGUAAUAGCUCACCAGGGCGACGAUCAGUAGCCGGACUGAGAGGUUGAACGGCCACAUUGGGACUGAGAUACGGCCCAG
rnacentral:rRNA from 1 species